rnacentral:tRNA from 1 species
GCCUGGGUGGCUCAGUUGGUUAAGUGCCUGACUUUGGCUCAGGUCAUGAUCUCAUGGUUCGUGGGUUCAAGUCCUGUAUUAGGCU